rnacentral:rRNA from 1 species
GACGAACGCUGGCGGCGUGCUUAACACAUGCAAGUCGAACGGAAAGGCCCUGCUUUUGUGGGGUGCUCGAGUGGCGAACGGGUGAGUAACACGUGAGUAACCUGCCCUUGACUUUGGGAUAACUUCAGGAAACUGGGGCUAAUACCGGAUAGGAGCUCCUGCUGCAUGGUGGGGGUUGGAAAGUUUCGGCGGUUGGGGAUGGACUCGCGGCUUAUCAGCUUGUUGGUGGGGUAGUGGCUUACCAAGGCUUUGACGGGUAGCCGGCCUGAGAGGGUGACCGGCCACAUUGGGACUGAGAUACGGCCCAGACUCCUAUGGGAGGCAGCAGUGGGGAAUAUUGCACAAUGGGCGGAAGCCUGAUGCAGAAACGCCGCGUGCGGGAUGACGGCCUUUGGGUUGUAAACCGCUUUCGCCUGUGACGAAGCGUGAGUGACGGUAAUGGGUAAAGAAGCACCGGCUAACUACGUG